GCCCGUGUGAUGGAAUGGCAGACAUAGCAGGCUCAGACCCUGUGGCCUCACGGCGUGGGAGUUCAAGUCUCUCCACGGGUACCA
rnacentral:tRNA from 2 species